GAUGGUGGCAAGGGUGCGGGGGAACACCUCUUCCCAUACCGAACAGAGCCGUUAAGCCCCGUUACGCCGAUGGUACUGCCGUCACUGGUGGGAGAGUAGGUUGCCGCCACCA
rnacentral:rRNA from 2 species